UACGAAGGGGGCUAGCGUUGCUUGGAAUCACUGGGCGUAAAGCGCACGUAGGCGGCUUUUUAAGUCAGAGGUGAAAUCCUGGAGCUCAACUCCAGAACUGCCUUUGAUACUGGAGAGCUUGAGUCCGGGAGAGGUGAGUGGAACUGCGAGUGUAGAGGUGAAAUUCGUAGAUAUUCGCAAGAACACCAGUGGCGAAGGCGGCUCACUGGCCCGGUACUGACGCUGAGGUGCGAAAGCGUGGGGAGCAAACAGG
rnacentral:rRNA from 1 species